GACGAACGCUGGCGGCGUGCUUAACACAUGCAAGUCGAACGGAAAGGCCCUGCUUUUGUGGGGUGCUCGAGUGGCGAACGGGUGAGUAACACGUGAGUAACCUGCCCUUGACUUUGGGAUAACUUCAGGAAACUGGGGCUAAUACCGGAUAGGAGCUCCUGCUGCAUGGUGGGGGUUGGAAAGUUUCGGCGGUUGGGGAUGGACUCGCGGCUUAUCAGCUUGUUGGUGGGGUAGUGGCUUACCAAGGCUUUGACGGGUAGCCGGCCUGAGAGGGUGACCGGACACGGGGGGAGACGGAGGCCGCGCAGGCGGGUGCGGCAGGAAGGAGUGGGGAAGAUUCAACAGCGGGCGGAAGGAUGAUGCGGCGACGCGGGGUGCGGGAGGGCGGCCUGGGGUUUGUAAACCGGUUGGGCGGGGGGGGAAGGGUGAGGGACGGAAAGGAGUAAAGAAGCACCGGCGAACUACGGGCAAGCAGCGGGGGUAGUACGGGGACGAGCACACGUCAGAAC
rnacentral:rRNA from 1 species